rnacentral:lncRNA from 1 species
GGCUCCUGAGACAGAAGUGAGGGUGGGCCGGGCUCAUUCCUGGCCAGGAAGGUCUGGGCAAGAGAGCUAUAUUCCUUCAGCUAUGCAGCAGCUACCUUCAUCUUCCUCCUAUACCAGCUUCAAGGCAGAAAACUGUGGAGUCCUGGAGAACCACCUUUGAAGUCCUUCGGUCCCUUCUACCUAGAGUAAAGGUGAAAGACUAUGCAGACAGAUACAUCUCUGAUAGAAAGAGACAUGAUUUCAAAGGAGGCUGCUAAAUUAAACUAAGAAUGGAUUGCUUAUUGACAUCUUACAUGAUUAUCUCCUCACUUCAUUACAGACGUUGACCAAAUUUUGUGAGGUCCAAAGCUUAUGCAAUUUGGGGAACCCUCUUUUUUAGGAAAAGAACACAACAUUAUGAACAGGCAAUUAAGUGCAGUCUCUAGAAGGG